UGAACGCUAGCGACAGGCCUAACACAUGCAAGUCGAGGGCAGCACAAGGAGCAAUCUGAGGUGGCGACCGGCGCACGGGUGAGUAACACGUAUGCAACCUGCCUGUAAGCGGGGAAUAACCCGUUGAAAGACGGACUAAUACCGCAUAAUACUGAAUUUACUGCAUGGUAAUUUAUUUAAACAUUUUAUGGCUUACAGAUGGGCAUGCGCAUGAUUAGCUAGUUGGAGAGGUAACGGCUCCCCAAGGCAACGAUCAUUAGGGGUUCUGAGAGGAAGGUCCCCCCACACUGGUACUGAGACACGGACCAGACUCCUACGGGAGGCAGCAGUGAGGAAUAUUGGUCAAUGGACGAGAGUCUGAACCAGCCAAGUCGCGUGCAGGAAGAAUUGUCCUAUGGAUUGUAAACUGCUUUUGCAGGGGAAUAAAGUGCAUCACGUGUGAUGUUUUGUAUGUACUCUGCGAAUAAGGAUCGGCUAACUCCGUGCCAGCCGCCGC
rnacentral:rRNA from 1 species